UAAGGAAUCUUCCACAAUGGACGCAAGUCUGAUGGAGCAACGCCGCGUGAGUGAAGAAGGUUUUCGGACCGUAAAGCUCUGUUGUUGGUGAAGAAGGAUAGAGGUAGUAACUGGCCUUUAUUUGACGGUAAUCAACCAGAAAGUCACGGCUAACUACGUGCCAGCAGCCGCGGUAAUACGUAGGUGGCAAGCGUUGUCCGGAUUUAUUGGGCGUAAAGCGAGCGCAGGCGGAAGAAUAAGUCUGAUGUGAAAGCCCUCGGCUUAACCGAGGAAUUGCAUCGGAAACUGUUUUCUUGAGUGCAGAAGAGGAGAGUAGAACUCCAUGUGUAGCGGUGGAAUGCGUAGAUAUAUGGAAGAAUACCAGUGGCGAAGGCGGCUCUCUGGUCUGCAAACUGACGCUGAGGCUCGAAAAGCAUGGGUAGCGAACAGGAUUAGAUACCCUGGUAGUCCAUGCCGUAAAACGAUGAGUGCUAAGUGUUGGGAGGCUUCCGCCUCUCAGUGCUGCAGCUAACGCAUUAAGCACUCCGCCUGGGGGAGUACGACCGCAAGGUUGAAAC
rnacentral:rRNA from 1 species